UACGUAGGGGGCAAGCGUUGUCCGGAAUCAUUGGGCGUAAAGCGCGUGUAGGCGGUUCGGUAAGUCGGCUGUGAAAGUCCAGGGCUCAACCCUGGGAUGCCGGUCGAUACUGCCGGACUAGAGUUCGGAAGAGGCGAGUGGAAUUCCCGGUGUAGCGGUGAAAUGCGCAGAUAUCGGGAGGAACACCAAUGGCGAAGGCAGCUCGCUGGGACGUUACUGACGCUGAGGCGCGAAAGCCAGGGGAGCAAACGGG
rnacentral:rRNA from 1 species